AAGAAUUUAUAGGGGCGCUUAUUGUUCCAUUAUACACAUUGGGAUAAUAGGCUGAGAAGACACCCUUAGAACCUGAUCCGGAUAAUACCGGCGGAGGGAAAAUAGCGAUCUCGCAU
rnacentral:ncRNA from 2 species